UUUCCUGCUCAUCUCUGCAUCCCUAACUCCUCCUCAUCCCUGUCUCUGCCCAUGUCUCACGGGGUAGUUGUUCUCUCUGCAGUGGCACAGGACAUGCUCCAACUUCAGCAGACACAGACACACUGAAGGCUGCUGAGACAACCCUUACAUCACGUCAAAGCAUUGCUCCACAUCUGCAUAAAUUUCUGCCAGGUUUUCACUGAGUCAAAAUGAGGAUUUUUUCCUUUUCCUUCCUAUUCCUGACACAAACACUUCCAUUAAAACCUUGAAAAACUCAGCCUCAGGGAAACAUCUAGCUUGGGGGUGGGAAAAAAAAUCCCAAGGUGAUUGAUUUCAGUUGUGCAGCAUCUCCAGGCACCUGGAAAGGGGAAGUUUGGAGGCAGAAGGCAGGAGGCAGCUGUGGCUGAAGCUACCUGGGAGGCCUGAGAGCAGGGAGGGAGCAGCUGGCCAGGCACAGGGCCACCAACCAGAGCCUGCUGCCCGCAUGCCAGCUUGGCUGCACCUUCAUCAGGAAUUGGAGGAGAAUGCUGUCAUUCUGAGCUUCCCUUUUCUGCUUUUCAGGGGGCACACACAGCUGAUCCGAGGAGAAGUGCUUACAGAUGCCUGAGCUGAGGAGAGCAGCAAGAGAAAGGGCAUUACAUGCAUCCCUCUCGUCAGGAAACUGUCACACUGCCAAACCCCCAGAACUGCAGUUUCCAAACCCAGCUUCUCUCGCCCUCUAAAUCAGCUCAGUGUGCCGUGCAGAAAAGCAGUCUGAGGGGCAGUGUCCUUGACACAGCAGAAGAAGAGUAAGCAGAAAAGAAGCUGCUGUAAGAAGUUACCUGACUUGUCCUUUUCUGUGUGGCUUGGCUGCUGUCCCAGCUGGCUGGAGCAGGCUCGGCAGUGCCCCAGCCUCCCAGGCUCUGGCUUCUGCUUGGAGAGAGCUUUGCCUGUGGUAACUGCUCAAUGGCUCUCAGUCUAAGGCCUGAAAAAUGCAAAACACCCUGGAAAAACUGCAGGCCUUGGGUACUUAACUCUUUCGUGAUCAUGGAACAAGCAGCUAAUAACUGUGAAAAUGAAUGUUUCUUUUUUGUUGCUGACUUAAGAGAGAAGUCAAAUCAGCCUUCCCAGCCUCGUUAGAAAGUCUGUAGAGAUGACUUUUCUUCUCUGCAUAAGGUACUGCCAUGUACUUCCCUCUUUUUGCUCUAUUUCAGGUUAAAUAUCCCAGAAUUAUAGAUUUGUGGUUUGCUGCAUUAGAGAAUUACCAGUUUUCAGGUCCUAGCAAGGAUUAACCUGUGAAGACACUGUCCCAUGGACAUACUUGCAGGGAGAAUUGCUGCAUUAACCUGCAGAAUCAUGUAUUGUGUGUAAGCAGCAUUUGCAGUGAGAUUUAUUUAUCCUGCAGACAGGAUCUCCUGCCUGCAAUAUGAAAGACAUCCACAGGCUUGUGUCACCAAGUAAAGGUGACAGAAAAGCUAAAAUGUGCCCUAAUCUCUCUACUGCCAUGUCUGCCAACAAGCAGGGGGAUGGCAGGGGGGAAUGGGCUGUCCAGGCUUGAGGCAGCAUUUCUCCCCAGUGCAUCCCUGGGCAGAGGUAGUGAGGGCACCUGGAGCAGGGGGGUUGUGUCAGAACUGCAAACCUGGUGAGGAUUCCCAGCUCCAACCAGCAAUGUGAAUUCUGGUACAUCAUUUUUAUGGCCCAAAAGAUAAAACAACAUGUGUUAGAAGAACCCUUUAGAAGUUCCAGCCUAUGCACAGGGUGUGCAUUCCAUGAACACCUUGGCUGUAGCCUGUGUGAAAAGGCACAAGCUCCUCUUGAACUUCUGCUGAUCUCUGGCCCUUCCUCUAGCAAUCAAGGACAUUGUUUAAUUUUUUGGACAGUACCCACAUCACUGAUGGGCACUUCAUAAACACAAGUAAAUCCAUCCUGGCAGACUUCAUCUCUAAUUUUACAAUGUGGUUUUCUGUGUCAGAUGACUACACUUUUUCCUAACUGCUCCAACAGCAGCACCCAGCAUGAUUCAGGUUUAUUCUCCUAUCCGUCAUACAUCUGUGCAUUCAAAAUAACCAACUCAGCUAUCUGCAGGGCUGUACAGUGCUCCUGAAGCAGCAGGUGAGGGGCUUUAAUCUGAGAUUCCCAUUAUGAAGAUGGUGUAAUCAAUCCAUCUGACUUCUUAAUACCUCUGUGUGGGAUUUUUUCCCCCUCUGUGACUAGGAGUGACUCACUGCAACUUCCCUGAAUUGCUCUGGAGAAGCAGCCUGUUUAUCUGUGAUGCUUGUCCUGCUUCUGCUCCUCUCAGAGGGAAUGUUCAGGAAAAACAUCUGGAGCUGCUGGGUGAGAAGAAAACUAUAUCAGCAAUUGAUUUGAGUGGGAAUAACAGUUGUGGAUGGGAGGUCAAGACUAUAGUACGUCAUGUCUAAUAGUUGUUUAUCUUCUAUAGUUUUUUCAGAAUGUUUCCUCGCUAUUUUUUUAAUGGAAAAUCUGGGGGUGGUUCUUUCCUUUCUGCUUGUAAUCUCUCAGUUUAGUUAAGCCCACAAAAAUGCUGAGAGAAAUUGCUUAAUUCCACAGAAGUCUGUCAUCAUCUCUCAGCUUGAUAUAAAUUUUUGUUUGAUUUUUGAGGAAACUGUUGUUUAAAGUGUUUUUUUAGGCCAUGACAGAAGAUAAUAUCAGUAUGUAUUACGGAAAGCUAUUUAAUAAGUACAACUAACAUAUUGCAAAACUGAUGUUCUGCAUGUUCAGCUCUUAGGCACAGGUCAAGGAAAUGUCCUAGAGAGUCUGGCUCAGGAGGCUCCCUGUGCUGUGCUUGGGCUAGCACAGGUUUCACCACACAUCACUCCUAGGAGUACACGUCUGUGAGGCUCUUGCUUUCUGCUGUGUUAUGCCUUUAUAAAUGAAAACUCCUGCUCUCAGUGCAAAAAUCAGCUUCCAGGCUUUAUGGCAUUGGUGCCAUACCCUCCAAAGGAGAUACUUAUGAUGUUCUCCCUUGUAACUUCUCCUAAAAUCACAUUUUUUCAAAGUGCAUAUUGUGUUCUGAGAGGUUGCAGGUUUGGCAGUUACCUGUCUAUGCACGUGGCAGCACAAUAUCUGUACCAGAACACAACAGGUUAGUAGAUGCAGAAAGGCCCUGGCUUCCCAGAAGAGUUGCUGAUAAGAACACUUUUUUGGCCAAAAUGUCUGUGAUUUAGCAUCCAUCACUGAUCUCUGGAAGUCAUCAUCAUACCUGUCAAACAAUCAAGGGUUUUCCAACCCACAAGUAAAAGUUCUUACCCAAAAUUUUAUUCCAUUCAAGUUUUUUCCUAAACUGCUGUUGUAUACAGAGCCUUUUAAUUAGGUCUUUCUUACAGGUCUGUUAAUUUAUUAAAAGGACAGUCUGUACUAACUGAAUAAGCACCAUAUCCCUAUGCUUUAGCCUUUUAUUCUUCCAAAAGAUCUGCUUUUAACCGUGGCAAAACCGUUGAGUUCAAGUUGUCACCUAAUCUAGAAAUAUGAGGUGAUCUUGUCCAUAGCACUUACAUCCUACAGACUCACAGCUGACACUGACCUGAACUUGCUAUUGAGUUAAUUCUCUAUCAGCCUGAAAACAUCUGGUCUCUUGUGACCAAACUGAGUAAGAACCAAAACUCAGGGUGUAUUUUGUUUU